rnacentral:rRNA from 1 species
AUUGAACGCUGGCGGCAGGCUUAACACAUGCAAGUCGAGCGGAGAUGAGGUGCUUGCACCUUAUCUUAGCGGCGGACGGGUGAGUAAUGCUUAGGAAUCUGCCUAUUAGUGGGGGACAACAUUCCGAAAGGAAUGCUAAUACCGCAUACGUCCUACGGGAGAAAGCCGGGGAUCUUCGGACCUCGCGCUAAUCGAUGAGCCUAAGUCGGAUUAGCUAGUUGGUGGGGUAAAGGCCUACCAAGGCGACGAGCUGUAGCGGGUCUGAGAGGAUGAUCCGCCACACUGGGACUGAGACACGGCCCAGACUCCUACGGGAGGCAGCAGUGGGGAAUAUUGGACAAUGGGGGGAACCCUGAUCCAGCCAUGCCGCGUGUGUGAAGAAGGCCUUAUGGUUGUAAAGCACUUUAAGCGAGGAGGAGGCUACUGAGACUAAUACUCUUGGAUAGUGGACGUUACUCGCAGAAUAAGCACCGGCUAACUCUUUGCCAGCCGCCGCGGUAA